rnacentral:rRNA from 1 species
AGAGUUUGAUCCUGGCUCAGAUUGAACGCUGGCGGCAUGCCUUACACAUGCAAGUCGAACGGCAGCACGGGUGCUUGCACCUGGUGGCGAGUGGCGAACGGGUGAGUAAUAUAUCGGAACGUACCCUAGAGUGGGGGAUAACGUAGCGAAAGUUACGCUAAUACCGCAUACGAUCUACGGAUGAAAGUGGGGGAUCGCAAGACCUCAUGCUCAUGGAGCGGCCGAUAUCUGAUUAGCUAGUUGGUGGGGUAAAAGCCUACCAAGGCGACGAUCAGUAGCUGGUCUGAGAGGACGACCAGCCACACUGGAACUGAGACACGGUCCAGACUCCUACGGGAGGCAGCAGUGGGGAAUUUUGGACAAUGGGGGCAACCCUGAUCCAGCAAUGCCGCGUGAGUGAAGAAGGCCUUCGGGUUGUAAAGCUCUUUUGUCAGGGAAGAAACGGGAUUUUCUAAUACAAAGUCCUAAUGACGGUACCUGAAGAAUAAGCACCGGCUAACUACGUGCCAGCAGCCGCGGUAAUACGUAGGGUGCAAGCGUUAAUCGGAAUUACUGGGCGUAAAGCGUGCGCAGGCGGUUGUGCAAGACAGAUGUGAAAUCCCCGGGCUCAACCUGGGAAUUGCAUUUGUGACUGCACGGCUAGAGUGUGUCAGAGGGGGGUAGAAUUCCACGUGUAGCAGUGAAAUGCGUAGAGAUGUGGAGGAAUACCGAUGGCGAAGGCAGCCCCCUGGGAUAACACUGACGCUCAUGCACGAAAGCGUGGGGAGCAAACAGGAUUAGAUACCCUGGUAGUCCACGCCCUAAACGAUGUCUACUAGUUGUCGGGUCUUAAUUGACUUGGUAACGCAGCUAACGCGUGAAGUAGACCGCCUGGGGAGUACAGUCGCAAGAUUAAAACUCAAAGGAAUUGACGGGGACCCGCACAAGCGGUGGAUGAUGUGGAUUAAUUAGAUGCAAUGCGAAAAACCUUACCUACCCUUGACAUGUACGGAACUUACCAGAGAUGGUUUGGUGCUCGAAAGAGAACCGUAACACAGGUGCUGCAUGGCUGUCGUCAGCUCGUGUCGUGAGAUGUUGGGUUAAGUCCCGCAACGAGCGCAACCCUUGUCAUUAGUUGCUACGAAAGGGCACUCUAAUGAGACUGCCGGUGACAAACCGGAGGAAGGUGGGGAUGACGUCAAGUCCUCAUGGCCCUUAUGGGUAGGGCUUCACACGUCAUACAAUGGUACAUACAGAGGGCCGCCAACCCGCGAGGGGGAGCUAAUCCCAGAAAGUGUAUCGUAGUCCGGAUUGUAGUCUGCAACUCGACUACAUGAAGUUGGAAUCGCUAGUAAUCGCGGAUCAGCAUGUCGCGGUGAAUACGUUCCCGGGUCUUGUACACACCGCCCGUCACACCAUGGGAGCGGGUUUCACCAGAAGUAGGUAGCCUAACCGCAAGGAGGGCGCUUACCACGGUGGGAUUCGUGACUGGGGUGAAGUCGUAACAAGGUA